rnacentral:rRNA from 1 species
CUCUGUGACUCCUACGGGAGGCAGCAGUGGGGAAUAUUGCACAAUGGGGGAAACCCUGAUGCAGCCAUGCCGCGUGUGUGAAGAAGGCCUUCGGGUUGUAAAGCACUUUCAGUAGGGAGGAAGGUAGUGUAGUUAACACCUGCAUUAUUUGACGUUACCUACAGAAGAAGCACCGGCUAACUCCGUGCCAGCAGCCGCGGUAAUACGGAGGGUGCGAGCGUUAAUCGGAAUUACUGGGCGUAAAGCGCAUGCAGGCGGCCUGUUAAGUCAGAUGUGAAAGCCCGGGGCUUAACCUCGGAAUUGCAUUUGAAAUUGGCAGGCUAGAGUCUUGUAGAGGGGGUAGAAUUUCAGGUGUAGCGGUGAAAUGCGUAGAGAUCUGAAGGAAUACCAGUGGCGAAGGCGGCCCCCUGGACAAAGACUGACGCUCAGAUGCGAAAGCGUGGGGAGCAAACAGGAUUAGACACCCUGGUAG